rnacentral:piRNA from 1 species
UUGCCAUUAGAAUACGGAUGAUGAUUAGU